AUUGAACGCUGGCGGCAUGCCUAACACAUGCAAGUCGCGCGGGCGGUAGCAAUACCGUUAGCGGCGGACGGGUGAGGAACACAUAGGAAUUUGCCUUUAGGUGGGGGAUAGCCCAGGGAAACUUGGAGUAAUACCGCAUGAUGUCGCAAGACCAAAGCAGGGGAUCGCAAGACCUUGCGCCUUUAGAGGAGCCUAUGUCUGAUUAGCUAGUUGGUAGGGUAAUGGCCUACCAAGGCGACGAUCAGUAACUGGUCUGAGAGGACGAUCAGUCACACUGGAACUGAGACACGGUCCAGACUCCUACGGGAGGCAGCAGUGGGGAAUAUUGGACAAUGGGCGCAAGCCUGAUCCAGCAAUGCCGCGUGUGUGAAGAAGGCCUUCGGGUUGUAAAGCACUUUAGGCCGGGAAGAAAAAAUCAGGGCUAAUAUCCUUGAUCUUGACGGUACCGGAAGAAUAAGCACCGGCUAACUCUGUGCCAGCAGCCGCGGUAAUACAGAGGGUGCGAGCGUUAAUCGGAUUUACUGGGCGUAAAGCGUGUGUAGGUGGUUGUUCAAGUCGGUUGUGAAAUCCCUGGGCUUAACCUGGGAACUGCUUCCGAGACUGAGCGACUAGAGUACGGUAGAGGGCGGUGGAAUUUCCGGUGUAGCGGUGAAAUGCGUAGAUAUCGGAAGGAACACCAAUGGCGAAGGCAGCCGCCUGGGCCUGUACUGACACUGAGACACGA
rnacentral:rRNA from 1 species